rnacentral:rRNA from 1 species
GACGAACGCUGGCGGCGUGCCUAAUACAUGCAAGUAGAACGCUGAAGAGAGGAGCUUGCUCUUCUUGGAUGAGUUGCGAACGGGGGAGUAACGCGUAGGUAACCUGCCUUGUAGCGGGGGAUAACUAUUGGAAACGAUAGCUAAUACCGCAUAACAAUGGAUGACACAUGUCAUUUAUUUGAAAGGGGCAAUUGCUCCACUACAAGAUGGACCUGCGUUGUAUUAGCUAGUAGGUGAGGUAAUGGCUCACCUAGGCGACGAUACAUAGCCGACCUGAGAGGGUGAUCGGCCACACUGGGACUGAGAAACGGCCCAGACUCCUACGGGAGGCAGCAGUAGGGAAUCUUCGGCAAUGGGGGCAACCCUGACCGAGCAACGCCGCGUGAGUGAAGAAGGUUUUCGGAUCGUAAAGUUCUGUUGUAAGUCAAGAACGGGUGUGAGAGUGGAAAGUUCACACUGUGACGGUAGCUUACCAGAAAGGGACGGCUAACUACGUG